CUACGGGGUGCUGCAGUAGGGAAUAUUGCGCAAUGGGCGAAAGCCUGACGCAGCAACGCCGCGUGAGUGAGGAAGGCCUUCGGGUUGUAAAGCUCUGUUAAGGUGGAAAAAUGGGUUCUGGUCCAAUAGGCCAGAAUUUUGAUGGUACACCUAGAGGAAGCACCGGCUAACUUCGUGCCAGCAGCCGCGGUAAUACGAAGGGUGCGAGCGUGUUCGGAUUUAUUGGGCGUAAAGCGCGCGCAGGCGGAUUAAUAAGUCAGGUGUGAAAUCUCGGGGCCCAACUCCGAAACUGCGCCUGAAACUGUUAAUCUAGAAUCUUGGAGAGGGAAGGGGAAUUUCGCAUGUAGGAGUAAAAUCCGUAGAGAUGCGAAGGAACACCAGAGGCGAAGGCGCCUUCCUGGACAAGAAUUGACGCUGAGGCGCGAAAGCGUGGGGAGCAAACAGGAUUAGAUACCCGAGUAGUC
rnacentral:rRNA from 1 species